rfam:Lachancea mirantina genome assembly, chromosome: H
GGGCGUGUGGUCUAGUGGUAUGAUUCUCGCUUUGGGCGAAGGUUGAGUAACACUUAAUCUUAUAUCACAAGCAUGCGAGAGGCCCUGGGUUCAAUUCCCAGCUCGCCCC